UACGUAGGGACCGAGCGUUGUCCGGAUUCAUUGGGCGUAAAGAGCGUGUAGGCGGCCAGGUAGGUCGGUUGUGAAAACUGGAGGCUCAACCUUCAGAGGUCGACCGAAACCAUCUGGCUAGAGUCCGGGAGAGGAGAGUGGAAUUCCUGGUGUAGCGGUGAAAUGCGCAGAUAUCAGGAAGAACACCCGUGGCGAAAGCGGCUCUCUGGAACGGUACUGACGCUGAGACGCGAAAGCGUGGGGAGCAAACAGG
rnacentral:rRNA from 1 species